AAGGUAAAUGAGCGCAGCCUGAUCAGCCAUGCCGCGUGUGUGAGAAGGCCUUCGGGUUGUAAAGCACUUUCGGACGGAACGAAAUCGCGCGGUUGAACAUUCCGCGUGGAUGACGGUACCGUAACAACAAGCACCGGCUAACUACGUGCCAGCAGCCGCGGUAAUACGUAUGGUGCGAGCGUUAAUCGGAAUUACUGGGCGUAAAGGGUGCGCAGGCGGCCCCGCAAGUCAGGCGUGAAAUCCCCGGGCUCAACCUGGGAAUGGCGCUUGAAACUACGGGGCUCGAGUGUGGCAGAGGGAAGUGGAAUUCCACGUGUAGCGGUGAAAUGCGUAGAGAUGUGGAGGAACACCGAUGGCGAAGGCAGCCUCCUGGACCAACACUGACGCUCAUGCACGAAAGCGUGGGGAGCAAACAGGAUUAAAUACCCUGGUAGUCCACGCCCUAAACGAUGACGACUAGUUGUUGGGAGAGUUAAAUCUCUUAGUAACGCAGCUAACGCGCGAAGUCGUCCGCCUGGGGAGUACGGUCGCAAGAUUAAAACUCAAAGGAAAUUGACG
rnacentral:rRNA from 1 species